UGGUGCCAGCAGCCGCGGUAAUUCCAGCUCCAAGAGUGUAUAUUAAAGUUGUUGCGGUUGAAAAGCUCGUAGUUGGAUUUAUGCUAUGCUGGUACAGUCGACCCCCUGGGUAGGACUUGUAUUGUUGCAUUGCACACUGUAGAAUUUGUGUAUGUUUUUCAGUAAAUGUGCAGAAUACUACUUAGUUACUUUGAGGAAAGUGGAGUGUCACACGCA
rnacentral:rRNA from 1 species